rnacentral:rRNA from 1 species
UGAGGAAUAUUGGUCAAUGGACGAGAGUCUGAACCAGCCAAGUAGCGUGCAGGAUGACGGCCCUAUGGGUUGUAAACUGCUUUGGUUUGGGAAUAAUCGACAUUACGUGUAAUGUUUUGCAUGUACCAUUCGAAUAAGGACCGGCUAAUUCCGUGCCAGCAGCCGCGGUAAUACGGAAGGUCCAGGCGUUAUGCGGAUUUAUUGGGUUUAAAGGGAGCGUAGGCCGUUUGGUAAGCGUGUUGUGAAAUGUAGGAGCUCAACUUCUAGAUUGCAGCGCGAACUGUCAGACUUGAGUGCGCACAACGUAGGCGGAAUUCCUGGUGUAGCGGUGAAAUGCUUAGAUAUCAUGAAGAACUCCGAUUGCGAAGGCAGCUUACGGGAGCGCAACUGACGCUGAAGCUCGAAGGUGCGGGUAUCGAACAGG